UCCAAAUGCUGGUUCAUCAUCAAAAAACAAACUAAGAGUUACAACUCAAAUAUCUCGUAACAGAUAAGUCAGGAAGGCCAGGGAGAGACUCCGGGGGUUUGGAGAAAGCUCCAUGUACAAGGUUGGGAAGAUGACAUGAGAGGGUGGAGAGAGGUGGCAAUGGGGAUCUUCUAAUCAUCAAAUUAGACAUCCUGCAUUUUGGAUGAAAGAGUCAGAUAAUCAAAAAUGCUGUUUACAUGAUUAGCAAGAAGAAAUACCAGCUGGGUGCAGUAGCUCGUGCCUAUCAUCCCAAUACUUUGGGAGGCAGAGGUGGAAGGACUGCUUGAGCCCAGGAGUUGGAGACCAACCUGGGCAACAUACUGAGACAUUGUUUCUGUUUCAAAAAAAAAAAAAAAAAAAAAAGAAGAGGAGGAAGAAGAAACACUGAUUUAAGGGCUAAAAAAUACUACUAGAUACAAGUAAGAUCAAUGAAAAUUCUGAUUAAAAUUGGAGGAAAACGUG
rnacentral:lncRNA from 10 species